AGAGAGAGAGAGAGAGACAGAGACAGAGAGAUGACGCUUGUGUGCGUGCCGCUGGUGGCGGAGAUGGCCGCCGCCAGGGCUCGCGGCGCCGACCUCGUCGAGAUCCGCCUUGACCACCUCGCCGUCGUCCAUCCCCGGCGGGAUCUUGAGCUCCUCCUCAAGAACCGACCUAUUCCCGCCCUCGUCUUUUGAUCAACAAGAAUGCCUAAAACUCUACUAAGCUGAACUCUGCUGUACUCCACGCAACUUGUAUUGCUUUGAUUGUCUUUUAUAUUUCUUCUUCUUCUUUUUUCCUUUGGUUUAUCGAAAUAUAAUCCGUUUUUCGUUUUUGUUGAUGGAAAUUGGAGUGGUUGGGGAAUAAAUUACGGGACCUUUUUUGCAUAUUUAAAUUUUACGAGGGAAGCAGCUUAAACCAGCUCAAGGAGGAUGCAACAGGAAGCAUUGACCUAAGAUAGUUCACUCCCUCGCCUGUCUAGUACGCUUUAGUUUCAGUUAAAUAGAUCAACAACAAAGGCUACAUAAUCACAUCCAAUUUUCAAUAUACUUCGACUAUUGCAUCAACCUUCAUCUAUACCUGUCAUGUAUCCAAAUGCCAGAUAUCCAUCGGCCAAAGUGGGAAGGAGGGGAAUAUGAAGGUGAUGAUAGCCGGCGGUUCAACGCACUGUGCUUAGCUAUGGAAUUACGAGCUGAAUACAUUGAUAUCGAGCUUAAGGUUGCUGGUGAUUUUGUUAGAUUCAUAUCAGGAAAAAGGCCAGAGACCUUUAAGCUUAUUGUAUCUUCGCAUAACUAUCAAAGCACACCAUCAAGGGACGUGCUUGGCAGCCUUGUAGCAGGAAUACAAGCUGUUGGGGCUGACAUAGUAAAGAUUGCAACAACUGCUUUGGAUAUUGUUGAUGUAACACACAUGUUCCAAAUAAUUGUGCAUUGCCAAGGAAGGAAUCAGCUGCUGGACAGCCGACUAUCUCUGACUUGUUGAAUGUGUAUAAUAUCAAACAGAUAGGCCCUGAUAUGAAGGUCUUUGGAAUUAUUGGCAAACCUGUGGGCCACAGCAAGAGCCCAAUUUUGCACAAUGGGGCUUUUAGAUCAGUUGGUUUGAAUGCAGUUUAUGUACCACUUUUGGUGGAUGACCUUGCAAAUUUUCUCACUGCCUACUCAUCCCUGGAUUUUGCUGGUUUCAGGUUCUCUGGGGCUGCUUGCAGAGGGAGAGGUAAAAGCAGAAUGUGUUAUUGUAAGACCCCACAGUAUUACCAUCCAUGCAAAAGCUUUAAGACUUGUGAAUAGAAAGAAGUAAGAGGCAACAAACUACCUGCAAGACUGAGAGAUAUCAAAAGAGAAAAAAAUGUGCCAAAAUUUGACUCUGUUGCUUGUUAAUUUUGACUAAACUUCUCUCUCUCUCUCUCUCUCUCUCUC